rnacentral:rRNA from 1 species
UACAGAGGUCUCAAGCGUUGUUCGGAUUCAUUGGGCGUAAAGGGUGCGUAGGCGGCGCGGUAAGUCGGGUGUGAAAUCUCGGGCUUAACUCCGAAACUGCAUUCGAUACUGCCGUGCUUAGAGGACUGGAGAGGAGACUGGAAUUUACGGUGUAGCGGUGAAAUGCGUAGAUAUCGUAAGGAAGACCAGUGGCGAAGGCGGGUCUCUGGACAGUUCCUGACGCUGAGGCACGAAGGUCAGGGGAGCAAACGGG